UACGGAGGGUGCGAGCGUUGUCCGGAAUCACUGGGCGUAAAGGGUGCGUAGGUGGCAUGUUAAGUUUGAUGUGAAAGCUCAGGGCUUAACCCUGAAAUGGCAUUGAAUACUAGCGUGCUGGAGGUUUGGAGGGGGGACUGGAAUUCUUGGUGUAGCAGUGAAAUGCGUAGAUAUCAAGAGGAACACCGGUGGCGAAGGCGGGUCUCUGGGCCGAUACUGACGCUGAGGAGCGAAAGCGUGGGGAGCGAACAGG
rnacentral:rRNA from 1 species